rnacentral:tRNA from 1 species
AGUUAUGUGGCCUAAUGGAUUAGGUGUCUGAUUCCAGAUCAGAAGAUUGAGGAUUCAAGUCCCUUUGUAGUUG